GCAGGCUGUUCCGUUGAUCGGAUCAACUGGAACCCUCGACGUCGUAAGCGACGGAGUGCCAACAACAAAAUGACUGAAACACCCCUCUACCCCACUUCUUCUGGAUGUUUAUGGGUUCUGUUAGAACACUAAAACAUGAGUAUGAUAAAGAAAGGUCCUUAGCGUGUUUCCAUUACUUAAAUUUUCUAUAUACAAUCACAUUUACAUUUCUAGUGAUGUCUUGGAUCUGUAGUCUUCAAAUCAGCUUUCUCCUUUCUGACCUUCAGAAGCCUAAUUUCUCAAAAUCGGUAUUUACGCAGUGUUCUACAUAUCCCAAUGCCCCAAUAAUUACAGGUAUACACCUGAACUUGUAAUCUGGAAAGACUAGCUGCAGAUUUCUCAAUAGUUCCACGUAGGUAUUCUCUGCAUCUAUGUUAGCAUCUGCUCGGCAGCUGAUUUCCACAUUGUUCAGUUUCUCUUCACUAUACCAAACCAUUGUGUUUAUAUUUCAUUAGGGUUUCCACUGACACAUUCUACCGUACUGGUAUGAGUGACUAUGGCUUCUACCAUAAUGUAGGGUUAGGGUUAGGGUUUUGUCCUCAGGGUUAUCCCUUCGAUAGCUACAACAUCAUGUCUCACCAGUAGGUAAUCUGCUAUAGGCACAGUAUGCAGCUGGAUGAAAAAUCGACCUCGAUGGAAUUUGAACUCAGAAUGUAAAGAUGAAAUACUGCAGAGACACAUGAUUUGCCCAGUUUCUUCAGAGACGUCGGGACCGUUUUUAUCCUCUCCAGAUAAAUAACAUGGUAUUCUAACAAAGCAUUCAGGUUGAGGUGGAUGUAUUCAGAAUUCAAUGCGCUGACAAGCUUGCUUUGCCUAUGAAAGACAGGUUACGUGGCAUUGUAGUUGCUUGUUAUCUAGCUCAUCAAGGUGCUAACUUUUACUACAAGAACAAAAAGAACCAGAUGCCGCUGGACAUUAUUAAGAGUCCAGCUUUAAAAAUGAUAAUAAAGACCCUUUUUCAACCACAAUGUUUACUUUGCGAAGAAAAUGCACCCUCUGUUACGUUCCACCCAUGCCAACAUACUGUGAUAUGUAAACCAUGUUCCCAGAUUAAACUGAAACGAUGUCUUGAUUGCCAACAAAUUAUAACUUACAAAGAAGGAUUUGGUUCACCAAACAUUGCAAUGAAGACUGAGAAGAUGUCAAGCCCAUAGCCAAGUAGGGAGUUAGAAAUUCAACCAGCACUGCAAUUUCCACAUCAGACCAAGUGAAUUUGUGUGUAAAUGUUGCUGUUGUGCCCUAGAUCAAGCUGGACCACACUGAGACCUACGAUCACAUUCCUUACAGCCAGGACCACCCUGUCUUUAUUGUAAGAGAACCGAGAACCAUAUUACUUACUGUGUCCUUUCAGGUGAUAAAUGAGGAGGAUUCAGCUGCUAAUUCUAGCAGAUCUUAGCUAUCAUAUAGAGAUCCCUUUAUUGGUGUGGUUCCCUUGCUGUAAGAGAUUAGUCUGAAAUAAAAAUAAAUUUUGUAAGGUU